CAGUCCCUGGGGUGGGCUGCCUGCCCUGGCUGAGCUGGAUUAAAUCAGUGCUCUAGUGGGUGGGGCAGACUCUGGGCUAGCAGGCCCCAGGGAGAACUCUAAUGGCGUCUGCCAGCUUCUGUGUCAGCACGCCCACACCAGGCCACAAUAAUGGCGGCCACCAAUGUCCCAGUCCCUGGAGAGGUCUCACCUCUCACUGUGAUGCACUCAGAGCCUAUCAGUGUUUUGCUGUGCAUUACAAGUGUUUGCAGUUCCACUCAGUACAUGGUACUGGGCACUACGAUGUGACAAGCCUUGUGCUUGGAGCUGUCAGAGUCCAGACGAGAAUGAGACACAGCCCUGGACAUCAUGAAAGUUAGACUUCAGAGGAAGAUAUUGAGUUUAUACGCUGCCCUGGACAUUUUCCUUACAAGCCGAUGGCCUUCGACCUCAAGCAGCUGGUCUCUCAGCUUCUCUUUCUGAAGACUUUCUCCAGGGUCACUGAAGCUUAUUCAGCCCAUUAGUAGGAUAACCCAGAACUGCCUGGAAUUCAAUUCUUUGUGUGUAUGAAGGGCUCAUCCUGGGCAUUGUAGGAUUAUUCUGUUUACUAUUAUGUUGAAUUGAAAAGAUUGUGUUUCUCAAAAGCCUUGAAUUUAUAAUAUUCAAAAAUAAAAAUAAAUUGAAGUGCAUAAUAGAAGUCAUAACAAAAAAUUGUGAAUAUAAUAAGCUGUUUUUAAUUUCAUUGAUUUAAAUAAAUAGGAAAUUCUAAUGUAUGGA